UUGCAGACUAUUUCAUUGCUGCAGCCCACUGCUCUUCCAGCUCUGCCGACAACCACACCUACAAGAGCUACAGCUGAAGCAUCACAUAGGGCAGAGGAGGCAUCACAGUCCGCUCUUGACGGCUCUGAAGGACACCAAGGUCCCAAGCCUUAGGUUCUGUAAAUGAUCCUGACUAGGGUGACCAGUAAAAGCGAGGAUUGUGGUUUGGAAUUAUGAAGAGCGCAUGACGAUUUGCAGGUGAUUGUGAGCAUAUCACGCGCACCUAGCAAAGUGCUUGUGUAGAGGAGAAAGGGAAGCUAGCAAAAUUUGUGGGUGAAGAAACUAACAGAUUGAAGUCCAGUCCCUUGUUAGUGUGAUUUUUUUUUUUUUUUUUUGCGAUUGCAUUCAUUAGUUCCAUCACUGACAAUCUGCCUGCCAUACUACCCAACUGUAGUAAAAGAUAUUGAUAGAUGACAUGAUGUUUCAAAUAGUGGUUAGCAAGUAAAUCAAUGUUAUAUUAAAAAAAUAUUUACCUUGCUACCCAACUAAGGGCCUGUUUAGAUCCCCUGGCAAGUUUUUUCAUCCUGUCACAUCGAAUGUUUGGACACAUGCAUAAAAUAUUAAAUAUAGACAAAAAAACUAAUUACACAGAUUAUGUCUAAAUUGCGAGAUGAAUCUUUUAAGCCUAAUUGCUCCAUGAUUUGACAAUGUGGUGCUACAGUAAACAUUUGCUAAUGAUGGAUUAAUUAGGCUUAAUAAAUUUGUCUCGCAGUUUACAGGCGGAAUCUAUGAUUUGUUUUAUUAUUAGACUACGUUUAGUACUUCAAAUGUGUGUCCGUAUAUCCGAUGUGUCACGACAAAAAUUUUCACCCCUGGAUCUAAACACAGCCUAAAGCAAUUUGCCUUGCAGGUUCAUGAAUAGAUUGAUGUUUUGAUGAUAUGACCAAUCUGCUGCUAAAAAUGUGCUACAGGUACCCAAAUCUCAAGCCUUAUUAUGGCACUGAAUAACUUGAACCGAAAAUUUGAUGUUAUAUAAAUUAAGUAGAUCUCAUCUACUAUAAAGAUCUUCAGUAGCCAUGUUUAAUGAAAUCAUGAGGUAAGUACAUAUUCAUGUUUUUUAGAAAACUAGAGCUUCACAUAGACACAUAUCUAAUUUGCUGUCACUAGGAAGCUUGUUGUUAGAGGAUUUUACAGUUUUCUGAAGUUUGAAAUUAAUUCAGUUCCUUUUUAAUGGAGGUAGUCUUGGUACAUUGGCUCAUAUAUAUACGUGUUUCAAAUUAGUGUAUUACUUGAGUUCAUUUUUUGAGUGGAUUAUUCAGUGAUAAUGUACUCUACCAUUUUUUCUUUUCUUCUUCUUUUAUCACAGAUUGAGCCAUUGGAUUGUUUUUCAAUCGUUCACUAUCUUACUAUGGUAGAAAACGAAACUUUAAUCUGUUUUCAUAUCAUUUGUCCUUACUAACUAUCCUUUUAUGUAGUCCAGAAAAUUAGGUCGCAGGUACCAAGGUAUCAUUAGUAUGGUCUCCAUUUAUAUGCAAGCACUAGGUUUAGUGUCGGAAUGGUUUGUUUUGGGUUCUUGGUCUUUUAUGGUUGUGUGUUUGUGUCCGCUGCAGGUAGAGGGGAGUUGGAGGGGAAUGGCAGCUCGCUGCAGGUAGAGGAGAGUUGGAGUGGAAUGGCAAGUGCGAGUGAGGCGAAUGGAUUGUGCUGCCAUUCAAGAUUGACUUUAGAAGUUCUCUUCUUUUUUUCAUCUUACCGAUAAUUCAAGAUUGUGCUACCAUAUGUUUAUCUUUUGAGUUAACACCAAAUGUCUGGUGGUUGCCGAUUGCCGUGUGGAUUUCGAAGCUUGACAAUUGCUUAUUUCUUUAGAGUGAAUCUAUUUCUAACAUUUCAUAUUACUAAACCAUAUAAGUUUGAUUCAUGAGGUAAAGUUUGUAAUAUAUAUGAAGUUCCUACGCCAUCUUA